UCCUCGAUAGCGCAGUAGGCAGCGCGCGAGUCUCAUAAUCUCGAGGUCGUGAGUUCAAACCUCACUCGGGCAU
rfam:Daphnia pulex DAPPTscaffold_58_Cont3109, whole genome shotgun sequence.